UACAGAGGGUGCUAGCGUUGUCCGGAAUCACUGGGCGUAAAGGGCGCGUAGGCGGCCUGAUAAGUCGGGGGUGAAAUCCUGUGGCUCAACCACAGGGCUGCCUCCGGGACUGUCGGGCUCGAGCACAGUAGAGGCAGGUGGAAUUCCCGGUGUAGCGGUGGAAUGCGUAGAGAUCGGGAAGAACAUCGGUGGCGAAGGCGGCCUGCUGGGCUGUUGCUGACGCUGAGGCGCGACAGCGUGGGGAGCAAACAGG
rnacentral:rRNA from 1 species